AUGCUUCGGCAGCAUGCAUACUAAAAUUGGAAGAAUACAGAGAUUAGCGUGGCCCCUGUGCAAGGAUGACAUGAAAAUUCGUGAAGCAUUCCAUAUGAAA
rnacentral:snRNA from 1 species